CCUACGGGUGGCAGCAGUGGGGAAUAUUGCACAAUGGGGGGAACCCUGAUGCAGCGACGCCGCGUGAGUGAAGAAGUAUUUCGGUAUGUAAAGCUCUAUCAGCAGGGAAGAAAACGACGGUACCUGACUAAUAAGCCCCGGCUAACUACGUGGCAGGAGCCGCGGUAAUACGUAGGGGGCAAGGGUUAUACGGAUUUACUGGGGGUAAAGGGAGCGUAGACGGUUAUGCAAGUCUGAAGUGAAAGCCCAAGGCUCAACCUUGGGACUGCUUUGGAGACUGUAAAACUGGAGUGCAGGAGAGGGAAGCGGAAUUCCAAGUGUAGCGGUGAAAUGCGUAGAUAUGAGGAGGAACACCAGUGGCGAAGGCGGCCUACUGGACUUUAACUGACGUUGAGGCUCGAAGGCGUGGGGAGCAAACAGGAUUAGAUACCCGGGUAGUC
rnacentral:rRNA from 1 species